UGUGUAUGUGAGUAAUGUCUAUAAUUGCAUUACAGUGUACUUUGUGUACGGUGGUCUCUAGAGUAUGUGAGCAUUUUUGCGAAAGGGUGAACAGCCGCUUGAGGGCAAUUACUUUGUAGGAUGUGAUGGCGUCCUGUGUGGGAUCUUCGCAUCGUCAAGGAUCUGAUUAGCUUUAGGUCUUUAAAAAAAAUUGUAUAUAACUUGUAAAUAACUAGUUUUUAAGAUGUGAAUCUGAUGUUUCUUUUAUUUUUUUCGUUGGAGAACCUAGAUUAUGGAGUUAUCCGAUGGCAGCAUUGAAGUAAUCUGUUGGAAGAAGGGGAACUGGGGUACAAUUCAGUUGUCAGUUCAAUUGUCAUGAAUUCUCAGUUUUAUUUGGAAGACUGAUGUGACGGGUGAUUGCCUACGAGUAUGCUUUGUGAGGUGAUGGGUGAUUGCCUAUGAGUAUGCUUUGUGAGUUUAAUCAUUUGAAAGCAUUUUCUUUACUUAACAGCAAUGUUGUUCUUGAAAAUGGGUCUGCCCUACCCACAGUAGCUUCAGUUACUGUACGGGAAGAUAAGAAAGUUGCAAAAUAAUAGCUUGAUCACACCUAUUGAAUUAUAAACUACAAAACAAUAGCAACAUGGUUGUACGAGAAGAGCUUAAUCACACUUACUUUAUUGUAAAGUACAAUACAGUAAGUAGCAACUUGAUAGUAACUGAACAACUCAGUGAGACUUAUUAUGUACUACAGUGCAGUAACAACUAGGUUGUAAGUGAACAGCUCAGUCACAUUUACUGAAUUAUGAACUGCAAUGCAAUAGUAACUAUACCUACAGUACAAUAGCAACUUGGUUGUAAGUGAACAGCUCAAUCACAUUUACCGAAUUAUGUACUACAGUGCAGCAGCAACUUGGUUGUAAGUGAAGAGCUCAAUCAGUCUCCCAGCGAACGGUAACUUGAAUGCAUUGACAGUCUCCUCAAAACUAAAUGACAUUUACCACACUGUACAAUUAUCAUUGUCUAACUUGUCAAAGGCUAUUCUCCAUAAUCUCCCUUUCGUUUAUACAUUUCACAAAUGUAAAUGCAGUGGAUUUCAAGAAUCGUUUAAACUAAUUUAGGUUUGACUCGGUGUAUUAGUGCAAGAGAAUCCGCGCUUAAGAAACUCCGUAAAUGGAGUUUCAAAAUAAUGUCUAGAAUAGGCUGUUAUUUUGAGAAAUGUUGUGUUUUACAUUCAAAACUUCAGUUGCUGAUAAAAAGUUGAAAGUGAUUAAUGGACGACCUACGUAAUGAAGCGAAAUUUUGCGGAGGUCAAUCUUAUGCAAUAGAUGAAAAGUGCAGUCACACGUUCAACUAAUGUAGCGAGAUUUUUACACUUAAAACUUACCUCGGUUACUGGAAAAAAAGAAACAUGGACAGUGAUUGAUGGACAAACUAUUAAAGAGAAAUAUGAAGUGUUGAAUGCUACUGUAUACUAUGGAAUGAUUUCCUAUUUCUCAAGGGCUUCUUCGAAUUGUGCAGCUGAAUCUAGCCUUUGAGUUUUUUGUUUUUAUUUCUCUGUAAACAAAAUGCAACUGAUAUUUCAAAUAUGAUUCGGAUGAAUGCGGAAUUUUAUGAUCUCAAAACAUUAUAUAUAUAUAUAUAUAUAUAUAUAUAUAUAUAUAUAUAUAUAUAUAUAUAUAUAUAUAUAUAUAUAUAUAUAUAUAGAUGCUUCCUUCUAGUGAGAAUGACGCAUUAACCUUCCUCUUAUUUAUCCGUAAUGUUUCUCGGUUAUCAGCAAUGAACGUGUAUUAAUACCUCUCAUAUGUACACAGUAUUAGGCAUUGAUUGGUACUGUAGUAUUCUGUAGAUCUAUGCUGUAGAAUGUGGUACUUGACUUAAACUGAUUGACAUUUGUUCAGAGAAUUCAGAGAACACUUCGUUCAGACUUAAAACAACACAUUCCAAGGGUAUAGAUUAUAAUAAUAUUUGUGUCAUUUUAACUUUUGUAUAUAUGGGUUAAGCUUGUACAGAUAUAUGUAGUUACUCAAUAAAGUAAUUUAAUAAGAA